rnacentral:rRNA from 1 species
UACGUAGGGCGCAAGCGUUGUCCGGAAUUAUUGGGCGUAAAGAGCUCGUAGGCGGUUUGUCGCGUCUGCUGUGAAAACUCGAGGCUCAACCUCGGGCUUGCAGUGGGUACGGGCAGACUAGAGUGCGGUAGGGGUGACUGGAAUUCCUGGUGUAGCGGUGAAAUGCGUAGAUAUCGAGAGGAACACCUGCGGCGAAGGCGGGUUGCUGGGCUGACACUGACGCUGAAGCGCGAAAGCUAGGGGAGCGAACGGG